AGCGAACGCUGGCGGCAGGCUUAACACAUGCAAGUCGAGCGGGCACUUCGGUGUCAGCGGCAGACGGGUGAGUAACACGUGGGAACGUACCCUUUGGUUCGGAAUAACGCUGGGAAACUAGCGCUAAUACCGGAUACGCCCUUUUGGGGAAAGGCUUGCUGCCAAAGGAUCGGCCCGCGUCUGAUUAGCUAGUUGGUGGGGUAAUGGCCUACCAAGGCGACGAUCAGUAGCUGGUCUGAGAGGAUGAUCAGCCACACUGGGACUGAGACACGGCCCAGACUCCUACGGGAGGCAGCAGUGGGGAAUAUUGGACAAUGGGCGCAAGCCUGAUCCAGCCAUGCCGCGUGAGUGAUGAAGGCCUUAGGGUUGUAAAGCUCUUUUGUCCGGGACGAUAAUGACGGUACCGGAAGAAUAAGCCCCGGCUAACUUCGUG
rnacentral:rRNA from 1 species